rnacentral:rRNA from 1 species
CCUACGGGAGGCAGCAGUAGGGAAUCUUCCGCAAUGGACGAAAGUCUGACGGAGCAACGCCGCGUGAGUGAUGAAGGCUUUCGGGUCGUAAAACUCUGUUGUUAGGGAAGAACAAGUACGAGAGUAACUGCUCGUACCUUGACGGUACCUAACCAGAAAGCCACGGCUAACUACGUGCCAGCAGCCGCGGUAAUACGUAGGUGGCAAGCGUUAUCCGGAAUUAUUGGGCGUAAAGCGCGCGCACGCGGUUUCUUAAGUCUGAUGUGAAAGCCCACGGCUCAACCGUGGAGGGUCAUUGGAAACUGGGGAACUUGAGUGCAGAAGAGAAAAGCGGAAUUCCACGUGUAGCGGUGAAAUGCGUAGAGAUGUGGAGGAACACCAGUGGCGAAGGCGGCUUUUUGGUCUGUAACUGACGCUGAGGCGCGAAAGCGUGGGGAGCAAACAGGAUUAGAUACCNUGGUAGUNCACGCCGUAAACGAUGAGUGCUAAGUGUUAGAGGGUUUCCGCCCUUUAGUGCUGCAGCUAACGCAUUAAGCACUCCGCCUGGGGAGUACGGUCGCAAGACUGAAACUCAAAGGAAUUGACGGGGGCCCGCACAAGCGGUGGAGCAUGUGGUUUAAUUCGAAGCAACGCGAAGAACCUUAC